rnacentral:misc_RNA from 1 species
UACAGAGGGUGCAAGCGUUAAUCGGAAUUACUGGGCGUAAAGCGUGUGUAGGUGGUUAGGUAAGUUAGAUGUGAAAUCCCCGGGCUCAACCUGGGAACUGCGUUUAAAACUGCUUAGCUAGAGUACUGUAGAGGAUAGUGGAAUUUCCAGUGUAGCGGUGAAAUGCGUAGAUAUUGGAAGGAACACCAGUGGCGAAGGCGACUAUCUGGACAGAUACUGACACUGAGACACGAAAGCAUGGGGAGCAAACAGG